rnacentral:rRNA from 1 species
GACGAACGCUGGCGGCGUGCUUAACACAUGCAAGUCGAACGGAAAGGCUCCAGCUUGCUGGCGUACUCGAGUGGCGAACGGGUGAGUAACACGUGGGUAAUCUGCCCUGCACUCUGGGAUAAGCCUGGGAAACUGGGUCUAAUACUGGAUAUGACCUUUCUCCUUAUGGGGUUUGGUGGAAAGUUUUUCGGUGUAGGAUGAGCCCGCGGCCUAUCAGCUUGUUGUUGGGGUGAUGGCUUACCAAGGCGACGACGGGUAGCCGGCCUGAGAGGGUGAUCGGCCACAUUGGGACUGAGAUACGGCCCAGACUCCUACGGGAGGCAGCAGUGGGGAAUAUUGCACAAUGGGCGGAAGCCUGAUGCAGCGACGCCGCGUGAGGGAUGACGGCCUUCGGGUUGUAAACCUCUUUCAGCAGGGACGAAGCGUAAGUGACGGUACCUGCAGAAGAAGCACCGGCUAACUAUGUG